CAGUGGCGAACGGGUGAGUAACACGUGGGCAAUCUGCCCUGCACUCUGGGACAAGCCUUGGAAACGAGGUCUAAUACCGGAUAUUACCCUUGACCGCAUGGUCUUGGGUGGAAAGCUCCGGCGGUGCAGGAUGAGCCCGCGGCCUAUCAGCUUGUUGGUGGGGUGAUGGCCUACCAAGGCGACGACGGGUAGCCGGCCUGAGAGGGCGACCGGCCACACUGGGACUGAGACACGGCCCAGACUCCUACGGGAGGCAGCAGUGGGGAAUAUUGCACAAUGGGCGAAAGCCUGAUGCAGCGACGCCGCGUGAGGGAUGAAGGCCUUCGGGUUGUAAACCUCUUUCAGCAGGGAAGAAGCGCAAGUGACGGUACCUGCAGAAGAAGCACCGGCUAACUACGUGCCAGCAGCCGCGGUAAUACGUAGGGUGCGAGCGUUGUCCGGAAUUAUUGGGCGUAAAGAGCUCGUAGGCGGCUUGUCACGUCGGAUGUGAAAGCCCGGGGCUUAACCCCGGUUCUGCAUUCGAUACGGGCAGGCUAGAGUGUGGUAGGGGAGAUCGGGAAUUCCU
rnacentral:rRNA from 1 species